GGGAGAGAGAAGCAAUAAACCAGUGGAAAACAGGCAGGUAAAGAUGGGUGCAUGCAUUAGUGUGUGUUUGUAUGGGGUCAGUUUAGGUCAUGAAGAAAGGCCUCUGUGAAUAGGAGACCUGGACCCUGAGAAGGAUUCAGCCUUGUGAUGAUCUGAGGAAUGAGGACAGGUGGGGCCCUGGGGAGAGAGGGAGGCCAGGUGAGUGCUGUGAGGUGGAGGAGCAGUGAGUGUCCCAG
rnacentral:lncRNA from 1 species